CCUGCCCGUUGACAGCUGGGAUAGGCUCCAGCGCUCCCGAGACCCUUGUGAGGAUAAGCGGCUAACCAAAUGGAUGGAUGGAUGUCAUUUUUUAUUUCACAAAUGCAAUACUAAAGCGGAAUACCAUGUUUCGAAUAGCCGUGGCACCACCUACUCUCGCAAAAAUGAACGUAUAUUGUGGGUUGACCUCCAGUUUCAAAGGCAAUUUGGUUGGAUCGUCUCCUCUCGGGAGAUUAUAAUAAUAAGAAUCAUAACAAAAAUACAAAGCGGUAUUAAGAAAGAUCUUGUACGGUCGUGGUAAAGGCCCAACAAUAAUAAUAAAGGCUAACUGAAUCGGUUUUUAUGUUUUAAAAGUAUUUUUUCUGUGGUCGUACGAGAGCGGCUCCAGCGACCAGAGACAAAUUCCUCGCGUUUUUGACAAACUGUAUUUUUGAAAAUGAAAAAAAAAAAAAAGAGGAUGCUGAUUCCGAUUCCGAUCCAAUAACCGUGCGGUUUCAACCAGGACUCGCGCACGAUUAAACUUUUCGUAGGACCGUGGGACUCGUGCGCCGAGGAAGCGUUAAAAGCGCUUAGCUGGGGCAGCGCCGCGCUUGGACCCAGACGAAGGGGACGGAGGAGCAGAGGAAAAGCGCCGCGUCAUCAAUAAGACGAGCGAGCGGCGCCGAGCAGUCAGACGGCGUCAGCUUUUUCUCUUGCCAAAAACCUUUUUACAAUGCAACUUUUUUUUGCUUCCCAGAUGUCCCCAUAUGCGCAUAUUUCUGGGAAAGUGACUGCUGAUUGGUGGAGAAGGAGGAAACGUUCCUGAAGGCACUGGGUUAGUGGCUGCCCUUUGGUGGAAUUUUUUUUUCCCUUCCUGAUUCAUGGAGGUUGGCGUUCCAAGUCGAUGGACGGUAGCACGGGAGGUAUUGAGCUCGUGCACGUGAUGUCACCAUUUUCACGGCGCCAUAUUGAAGGUCAAAAAGAGCCGCUCGACAGUGUGGGGGACAUCGAACCGGAGCAGAAUAUUCACAAUGCCCGAGACUUGUUGUGCUGUUGUUUGUAACAACGGACGAGGCAGGUGCCGCCAGUGUAACUCAAGCGCACAUCAAGGCAGCGCCGGAAUCAAACAAUCUUUCAGGUCGCCGCCACGCGCCCGCCGCCUUUGAAGCGCACAUACCGCUUUCAAAUCCCAAUCAACGCCCCUUUUGGUCUCUCCCGCUCCGGUUCCUUCAUUCUGCCGGACGCCUCUUGGCAGCCUCGCUGAGCGCUUUAUCUUUUAUCCUGCACUAAGUCAAAAAAAAAUAUGGGAGAUUGCUGUCACACGUAGGCAGCAUCCAGUACUCGCCGGAAAUUCCCCACAGCCUCCCUGACUAGUUUUCUAAGGAAUACACGAGAUUGUUGUCACGUGUCGGAUGGCGGCCAGUCGUCACCAGAAAACCCCGAAAUGUUGCCAAAGCCCUCUUGGGAGUCUAACCAUUUUAUGGUAGAUUGUUGUUCAGAGUCGGAGAAAAAGGACGAUUCUCACUCGAGCAACUUUAUGCUGGACAGUGAGAAGAAUACAGAAUACCGUGCUGAGCCCGUUUCGGUUUGCGGUAGGAAUGGGUAGGCUGACAGAUGAGGUUAGACUGGAGUCCCCUUGGACCGCGAUGUUCGCAGAGGAUAUUGUGAUCUGCAGUGACAUCAGGGAGCAGGCGGAGGAACAAUUAGAAAGAUGGAGGCACGCACUGGAAAGGAGAGGAAUGAAGAUCAGCCCAAGUAAAACAGAAUAUAUGUGGGUGAGUGAGAGGGGCGGAGGGGGAAGAGAUGGCAAAGGUGGAUGGCUUUAAAUACUUGGGGUCAACAAUACAGAGCAACGGUGAGUGUGGUAAGGAAGUGAAGAAACGGGUCCAAGUGGGAGUGGAACAGUGGGUGGAAGGUGUCUGGUGCUCUAUGUGACAGAAGAGUCUCCGCUAGGAUGAAGUGCAAAGUCUAUAAAACAGCGGUGAGGCCGGGCCAUGAUGUACGGAUUAGAGACGGUGAACAGGAAGCAGACCUGGAGGUGGCAGAAAUGAAGAUGUUGAGGUUCUCGCUUGGAUAGGAUUAGAAAUGAGCUCAUUAGAGGGACAGACCAAAGUUGGAUGUUUUGGAGACAAGGUUGAAGGGUCCAGACUUGAAUGGUUUGGACAUGUCCAGAGGCGAGAAAGUGCUGAGGAUGGAGCUGCCAGGCAAAAGAGCGAGAGAGACAGGAAGACCAAAGAAAAUCACACAUCCAGAACUUCCCAGAUUCUCCCAAAGCUCCUUUCCUGUGAUGUUGCCGCAGAGGCAAGAAUUUGGGAGACUAUUGUGACGUGUAAGACAACAGGCAGUCCACAUCGUCAUGGUCCUGCCGGUCCUUGCCCUGGCUGUGCCGAUCCCCGACACGGAACACGCCGGCAGCAGCAAUCGGUGAGGCUAACCCGUUGCCUUGUCCCUCCGUAAUUAUGACUGAUCCUCGUACGGUCUGGCCUUACCCAGAUCGUUGCCUUGUGUCUUGUUCCCGCACGCUCUUGGUUCCGUUCCAGAUCUCCCGUGCGACCCCUGCCUGCCUCUCACGCCUGACGUCCUUGUUACUGCUGCUUCCGUGGACUCGCUGCUCGCUCCCCGACACCGGACUGAAUAAAAAACGUUCCCCGAACCGCCUCUACGUCUCCCGAGUCGUGCAUUUGGGUCCGACCCCGUGUUCUGGUCGUGACACACACACCAGAUAUCACGUAUCAUCGCACAUGCAGUGUUGCCGAAGGGCUCUUGGCAGCCUUCAGGUCCACUUUUAUACAUGCUGUAGUUGAGGAAAAAUAC